rnacentral:rRNA from 1 species
UACGUAGGGUGCGAGCGUUAAUCGGAAUUACUGGGCGUAAAGCGCGCGUAGGCGGCUUUGCAAGUCGGGUGUGAAAUCCCCAGGCUUAACCUGGGAACUGCAUUCGAGACUGCAUUGCUAGAGUAUGGGAGAGGGAAGUGGAAUUUCCGGUGUAGCGGUGAAAUGCGUAGAUAUCGGAAGGAAUAUCAGUGGCGAAAGCGACUUCCUGGACCAAUACUGACGCUCAUGUGCGAAAGCGUGGGGAGCAAACAGG